rnacentral:rRNA from 1 species
UUCGGUUUGGGUGGCGGACGGGUGAGUAACGCGUAAAGAACUUGCCUCACAGAUAGGGACAACAUUUGGAAACGAAUGCUAAUACCUGAUAUUAUGAUUAUAUGGCAUCGUAUAAUUACGAAAGCUAUAUGCGCUGUGAGAGAGCUUUGCGUCCCAUUAGCUAGUUGGAGAGGUAACGGCUCACCAAGGCGAUGAUGGGUAGCCGGCCUGAGAGGGUGAUCGGCCACAAGGGGACUGAGACACGGCCCUUACUCCUACGGGAGGCAGCAGUGGGGAAUAUUGGACAAUGGACCAAGAGUCUGAUCCAGCAAUUCUGUGUGCACGAUGAAGUUUUUCGGAAUGUAAAGUGCUUUCAGUUGGGAAGAAAAAAAUGACGGUACCAACAGAAGAAGUGACGGCUAAAUACGUGCCAGCAGCCGCGGUAAUACGUAUGUCACAAGCGUUAUCCGGAUUUAUUGGGCGUAAAGCGCGUCUAGGUGGUUAUGUAAGUCUGAUGUGAAAAUGCAGGGCUCAACUCUGUAUUGCGUUGGAAACUGUGUAACUAGAGUACUGGAGAGGUAAGCGGAACUACAAGUGUAGAGGUGAAAUUCGUAGAUAUUUGUAGGAAUGCCGAUGGGGAAGCCAGCUUACUGGACAGAUACUGACGCUGAAGCGCGAAAGCGUGGGUAGCAAACAGGAUUAGAUACCCUGGUAGUCCACGCCGUAAACGAUGAUUACUAGGUGUUGGGGGUCGAACCUCAGCGCC